UGGCAAGCUGGGUUAGGAGCUAUGACCUUGGGGCAAAUAGGGAUACGAUCCUAGAGGCGCAGGGGAGCGCGCAGCAUGAGUGCUGAGAGGCACGCGCCCUCUGCUGCACGGCCGUGGAAUAAAACGAGACAACGGCCCCACAGUCCCCUGCCCGCAGCCCACGCUCGGGCGAGCCUGGAGGAUUGCAUUUCCUCGUAGGCUGGCAGAGCCUUACAUGAAGCGCUCAUCUUCUCCUACUUUCCUCCUCUUUAAAAAAUUAACGUGGGUGAGGAGACGUCCUAGUUGAGUACAUAUUGAUUUGAAAUAACCAAAACUUUUAACAAAUCACUUUUCUCAGAAGAAUCCAGUAAGAGAAAGAUAAUUUCUUCCAAAGACAUGAGACGUUCCCUGGCUGGCCAAGAAAAAUUGGCAUCUGGCAUACCUAGGAAUCAUUCAAAAUAGUUUAAUAGGAAGGACAUUUUGAGGCCAGCCAGCAUUAUGACAUUUGUGGGUCCUACGGCAUUUCACCUUGGAAACAUUUUCCUGGGCAUCUAAAAGUAUUGUGGACCUGAGACACUGUGCUUACAGGGCCUACUGGAAAAAUGCCAAUCACAGCGAUCCCAUCGCGCUGCUUCAGGGCUUCUUUAAAAGUGUUAUACUUCGGGUUCCAGUGAACCAAAUGAAGCUGAAACCAUAGAAGACAGAUUAGAAGUUUUCACUGUAUGAGACCGAGAAUGGAUUAUGGCAGUUCCUCUUACCUCCGCUGCAUACUUGACUCCAUCCACGGUGUGCUCAGAGCCAUGAUCAUCCGAAGAGCCCCAGUGAAGAUGAAACUGGCGAAGUCGGUAGGGUCCAGGGAGAGGACCCCCUCUCAGCACUGUGAUUCAGAUAAGCUUGGUCAACAGUGAAUUCAUGCUUCUUUUACAGAGCUCUACUUUAACCAAGUGCUCUUAGAGCCAAGGCUUAAUGGACAAAAUGUGGUCAGUUUGCUGGGUGGAUGGUGCCACUCCCAGGACACUGGACUCCUCACAAAAUGAAGUCUGG
rnacentral:lncRNA from 10 species